AGGACGAACGCUGGCGGCGUGCUUAACACAUGCAAGUCGAGGGCACCUCGUAAGAGGUGACCGGCGAACGGGUGCGUAACACGUGAGCGACCUGCCGAUUCGUGGGGGAUAGUCGGCCUAACGGCCGGGUAAUACCGCAUAUACCGAUUGAGCUGCAUGGCUCGAUCGGGAAACCUCCGGGGCGGAUCGAGGGGCUCGCGGCCUAUCAGCUAGUUGGCGAGGUAACGGCUCACCAAGGCAUCGACGGGUAGC
rnacentral:rRNA from 1 species